rnacentral:rRNA from 1 species
UACAGAGGGUGCAAGCGUUGUUCGGAAUUAUUGGGCGUAAAGCGCGUGUAGGCGGCUUUGCAAGUCGGGUGUGAAAGCCCUCAGCUCAACUGAGGAAGUGCGCCCGAAACUGCAUGGCUUGAAUACCGGAGAGGAUGGCGGAAUUCCCCAAGUAGAGGUGAAAUUCGUAGAUAUGGGGAGGAACACCGGUGGCGAAAGCGGCUCACUGGACCCGAUCUGACACUGAGGUGCGAAAGCUAGGGUAGCAAACGGG